ACGCUCGACACCUACGGGAGGCAGCAGUGGGGAAUAUUGCACAAUGGGGGAAACCCUGAUGCAGCAACGCCGCGUGAAGGAAGAAGGUUUUCGGAUCGUAAACUUCUAUCAAUAGGGAAGAAAGAAAUGACGGUACCUAAAUAAGAAGCCCCGGCUAACUACGUGCCAACAGCCGCGGUAAUCUGAGCGGGCUGGCAAGGC
rnacentral:rRNA from 1 species